rnacentral:rRNA from 1 species
UAGGGAAUCUUCGGCAAUGGACGAAAGUCUGACCGAGCAACGCCGCGUGAGUGAAGAAGGUUUUCGGAUCGUAAAACUCUGUUGGUAGAGAAGAACGUUGGUGAGAGUGGAAAGCUCAUCAAGUGACGGUAACUACCCAGAAAGGGACGGCUAACUACGUGCCAGCAGCCGCGGUAAUACGUAGGUCCCGAGCGUUGUCCGGAUUUAUAGGGCGUAAAGCGAGCGCAGGUGGUUUAUUAAGUCUGGUGUAAAAGGCAGUGGCUCAACCAUUGUAUGCAUUGGAAACUGGUAGACUUGAGUGCAGGAGAGGAGAGUGGAAUUCCAUGUGUAGCGGUGAAAUGCGUAGAUAUAUGGAGGAACACCGGUGGCGAAAGCGGCUCUCUGGCCUGUAACUGACACUGAGGCUCGAAAGCGUGGGGAGCAAACAGG